GGGAGGGUUACUGUGCUACCUGCUGCCCUGCAUCAGUAACGUUUGAUUACUCGGGAGGACAACACAUACUUUGACAAAUUUCAACAUGACCCCACUGAAAAUUCUUGCUGCUGCAGUUCCUCGAAUUAUUGAUACAUGUCGUAUCAUGUGGGCCAUUCAAAAUCAGAGUUGAUCAGGCACAGGGAGCCACAGCUGGAUCAGACAGACCCACAGAGACAGCCCCUGGCACAGGCCCAUAACGACAGGAAUGACGCCUCAGUACAGCGCUUCCCCUGGUACACAAAGAAGGAGAUGGUGUUAAUAAUGAGCAGGCGGAUGGGGAGGGGGAGGGGGAUAAUGCUGAUAGAGGUGGCAAUGGCAAUGGUGAUGGGAAGGGGGAGGGAUUAAUUUUAUGAGUUUGUUAGGAUUUUGCCCCCAUUAAAUUUUUAAUAAAUGAAAUGAUUGACGUCA